GACGAACGCUGGCGGCGUGCCUAAUACAUGCAAGUUGAGCGAUGAAGAUUGGUGCUUGCCCCAAUUUGAAGAGCAGCGAACGGGUGAGUAACGCGUGGGGAAUCUGCCUUUGAGCGGGGGACAACAUUUGGAAACGAAUGCUAAUACCGCAUAACAACUUUAAACAUAAGUUUUAAGUUUGAAAGAUGCAAUUGCAUCACUCAAAGAUGAUCCCGCGUUGUAUUAGCUAGUUGGUGAGGUAAAGGCUCACCAAGGCGAUGAUACAUAGCCGACCUGAGAGGGUGAUCGGCCACAUUGGGACUGAGACACGGCCCAAACGCCUACGGGAGGCAGCAGUAGGGAAUCUUCGGCAAUGGACGAAAGUCUGACCGAGCAACGCCGCGUGAGUGAAGAAGGUUUUCGGAUCGUAAAACUCUGUUGGUGGAGAAGAACGUUGGUGAGAGUGGAAAGCUCAUCAAGUGACGGUAACUACCCAGAAAGGGACGGCUAACUACGUG
rnacentral:rRNA from 1 species